GCAGAUAUUCAGAAAAAUGUACAUGUCCUUAAGUAAAUAGCUUAAAGAAUUUCCACAAACUGGACAUACUCACGUAACCAGCAUCCAGAUCAAGGUACAGAGCUCCAGCAGCCGCCCAGAAAGACACCUUGUACCCCUUCUCGUCAUUUGCCCUCCUCAAGGACUACCACCGUCCUGAUGGCUGACAGCCUGGAUUCGUUUCGCCUGUCUCUGACCUUCACGUGAGCGGGGUCAAGCACUGGUGCUCUCAUGGCAGCCUUCUUGGGUCAACACCGUGACCGUGAGAUCCAACCGUGUUGGUGGAGUCGUGACUCACUUGUUGAGACUGACAUUUUAAUCUGAGGAGCUCUGAGUCUUCAGAGCUGAAAGGAGACAGUCUGACAAAUUACGGAAUCAGAGAGAGGUAGGUCGAGGCAGCAUGUCUGGGCACAUUCCUGAACUUCCUGUUUCUCUGUUUCUAUGGAACCGGGGAGAACAUAGAUUUCUCCCUCAUCAGGUCCCUGUGAUGAGCCGGUGAGUCCAAGGGCGAGGUGUUCAGAGCGGCGCCUGGCGCACGGGGAGCGCUCUGCGGGAGCCCUGCUACCAAUCCCUCCACUACUCGGGUGUUUUUAUAUCACCCAGAGGGAAAAGGAGGUUUCAACGAUGAGUAUUUGAUAGUAGUUAUUAUAAAAAUAAAAUGAUUUCGAGGUUACACCUCGGCGAGUUAAGACAUCUCGCUAAACCGGUGAGACGUGUGUCAUCUCAAGAAGCACAUCAGCCCUGAGGGGUUACUAGAUGCUCAUUUGACAGAAGAGGCCACUGAGGCGCCGAGGGAGAAGAGCUCCCUGGGGUCCCAGAGCGAGUUGGCGGCGCCUCGCCCCUCGGGCCUCGGAAUCCUGCUCUCCUCUUCGCCCUUUCACCUGCUGCUCAUCUCCUGCUGGGUCCAGCGUCCUCAGCUCCACUGGGGCGACCGCCCCGGGCUGCCGCUGGCAUGACCCCUCCAUGCCGUGCUGCCUUUAGAACUUACUGGAAUGUUUGCUGUGUUGAUUUUCCCGUCGACCUGUCCCCCUGAGGCUCAGUCUUUCUUGUGGGUCUCAGGAGCAGCACGUCGUGAAACGCCAGAUGUGGCGUCAACUCUUCCACCUCCUUGAAUCUGGCCUGGCCUUGACCUUUGACCAACAGAACAUGGUGGAAGGGAUGCUCCCCGAGUUCUGGGCUUCCUGCUGUGUAGCCCUGAGCCGCCAUGAAAAGAAUUCCCGGCUACUCCAGUGGACGAGCACUGAGGCGCCAUCUUGGGCACCUAGGCCAAGUCAAGGUGAUGUCAACCCUGCGGCCCACGGCCUGCAACUGCCGCAGACCCCAAGUGAGAACCGCGCAGCUGAGCCCACCGAACCCACAGAACUGGGAUUGACCACAAGAGACUGUUGUUUUUAAGGCACUAAAUUCUGAGGUGGUUUGUCAUGCAUCACCUGAUAGCCAGAAUAAUAUAUAAAUAUAACAUACGUAUGUAAUUACUUCUAUUUUCAUAUUUACUAUUUUAAUUAAAGUAUUGUUAUUAUAAAAGUAAUACAAAAGUGCUGUAAAAAAUGGAGAAAUGUAACACCACCCUGGUCACACGGAUUUAACCCCAAUCACAGUCACUAUUAGCAUUUUGGGGUGUAUUCUCCCAGAUUUCUUUCCUAUGGACGCUUUUCAUACAGCAGUUCAAGAGCAUCUUUUUUUUCCCUUUACCAUUAUGUCAUCAUCGUUAUUCUACAUUGCCACAGAAAACUACACUAAUAAUUCUAUUAAUAGCCACUUAAAGUAGACAGAAUAAUAGCCCCCACAGAGAUGUCUAUACCCUCAUCCUUUGAACUUAUAAAUAUGGUACUUUAGGCGACAAGAGGGACUUUGCGGGUGUGAUUAGGGUAAGGAUCUUGAGGUGGGGAGAUGAACCUGGACCAUCCAGUAAGCCCAGUGUAACCACAAGGGUCCUCGUAAGAGAGAGGCGGGAGGGUCAAAGUCAGGAAAGGUGAUGCGAGUAAGGAAGCAGGGCCAGAGAGGGAGCAGAUGAUGCCACGCUGUUGGCUUUGAAGAUGGAGGAUGUGACAUGAGCCAAGCAAUUCGGCCUCUAGAAGCUGGAAAACAGGGAGCAGAUUCUCCCCUAGAGCCUCUGGGAGGGAUGCAGGUCUGCUGAAACCCGGAUUCUAGCUCCGUAAGACCCACUUCUGGACUUGUGACCUCCAGAACUGUAAGGUAAUGACUUCGUGUUGCUUUAAGCCGCUGAGUUUGUGAUAAUUUUUGGGAGCGGCCAUAGGAAACUAACGGGUCAGCUGACUGAACAUUUUACACACUGUCUCUUACUCAUCCUCACAACCCGCCUGUGAGGCAGGUCCCGUUACCAUCUCCACUUUAGAAAUGAGGAAGCUGGUGCUCAGAGGGAUGAAGGGACUUCCUCAGGACAUGGGCUGGCCCCGCCCUUUAUGGCUCCGCUUACAAAUACCAAUAGUAUUGGGUUUAUCUGGACUCGUGUGAACAUACAGACGUCAGUCGAGGCCUCUGUUGUGGCGCCAUCUU